rnacentral:rRNA from 1 species
GACGAACGCUGGCGGCGUGCUUGACACAUGCAAGUCGAACGGUGAAAGUGGAGCUUGCUCCGCUGGGUCAGUGGCGAACGGGUGAGUAACACGUGGGCAACCUGCCCCUGACUUCGGGAUAACUCCUCGAAAGAGGUGCUAAUACCGGAUACGAAUCCUGCAGGCAUCUGCGGGAUUGGAAAGUUUUUCGGUCAGGGAUGGGCCCGCGGCCUAUCAGCUUGUUGGUGAGGUCGUGGCUCACCAAGGCGACGACGGGUAGCCGGCCUGAGAGGGCGACCGGCCACACUGGGACUGAGACACGGGCCAGACUCCUACGGGGGGCAGCAGUGGGGAAUAUUGCGCAAUGGGCGAAAGCCUGACGCAGCAACGCCGCGUGAGGGAUGACGGCCUUCGGGUUGUAAACCUCUUUCAGCAGGGAAGAAGCGAAAGUGACGGUACCUGCAGAAGAAGCACCGGCUAACUACGUGCCAGCCGCCGCAGUAA